UACAGAGGGGGCAAGCGUUAUUCGGAAUUAUUGGGCGUAAAGGGCGCGUAGGCGGCUUGGCAAGUGGAAGGUGAAAUCCCCGAGCUCGACUCGGGAACUGCGUCCGAUACUGGCGGGCUUGAAUACCGUGGAGGUGAGCGGAAUAUGUCAUGUAGCGGUGAAAUGCUUAGAUAUGACAUAGAACACCAAUUGCGAAGGCAGCUCGCUACACGAAUAUUGACUCUGAGGCACGAAAGCGUGGGGAUCAAACAGG
rnacentral:rRNA from 1 species